CCUACGGGAGGCAGCAGUGGGGAAUAUUGGGCAAUGGGCGCAAGCCUGACCCAGCAACGCCGCGUGAAGGAAGAAGGCUCUCGGGUUGUAAACCUUUUUUGUCAGGGACGCAGCAAGAGACGGUACCUGACGAACAAGCCACGUUUAACUACGGGCAUGCAGUAGCGGUAAUCCGUAGGUGGCAAUCGUUCUCCGGAUUUACUGGGUGUAAAGGGGGUGUAGGCGGGACUGCAAGUUAGAUGUGAAAACCACGGGCUCAACCUGUGGCGUGCAUUUGAAACUGUAGGUCUUGAGUACUGGAGAGGCAGGCGGAAUGCGUAGUGUAGCGGUGAAAUGCGUAGAUAUUAGGAAGAACACCAGUGGCGAAGGCGGUAUGCUGGAGGGCAACUGACGCUGAGGCGCGAAAGCGUGGGGAUCGAACAGGAUUAGAUACCCGAGUAGUC
rnacentral:rRNA from 1 species